UAUAUGGCUGCAUGACUAAGUCGCUUUGGAUAAAAGUGUCUGCUAAAUGGCAUAUA
rfam:Salmo salar isolate Sally breed double haploid chromosome ssa28, whole genome shotgun sequence.